UGGGGAAUAUUGGACAAUGGGCGAAAGCCUGAUCCAGCCAUGCCGCGUGUGUGAAGAAGGCCUUUUGGUUGUAAAGCACUUUAAGUGGGGAGGAAAAGCUUAUGGUUAAUACCCAUAAGCCCUGACGUUACCCACAGAAUAAGCACCGGCUAACUCUGUGCCAGCAGCCGCGGUAAUACAGAGGGUGCAAGCGUUAAUCGGAAUUACUGGGCGUAAAGCGCGCGUAGGUGGUUAUUUAAGUCAGAUGUGAAAGCCCCGGGCUUAACCUGGGAACUGCAUCUGAUACUGGAUAACUAGAGUAGGUGAGAGGGGAGUAGAAUUCCAGGUGUAGCGGUGAAAUGCGUAGAGAUCUGGAGGAAUACCGAUGGCGAAGGCAGCUCCCUGGCAUCAUACUGACACUGAGGUGCGAAAGCGUGGGUAGCAAACAGGAUUAGAUACCCUGGUAGUCCACGCCGUAANCGAUGUCUACCAGUCGUUGGGUCUUUUAAAGACUUAGUGACGCAGUUAACGCAAUAAGUAGACCGCCUGGGGAGUACGGCCGCAAGGUUA
rnacentral:rRNA from 1 species